AACGAACGCUGGCGGCAUGCCUAACACAUGCAAGUCGAACGAGACCUUCGGGUCUAGUGGCGCACGGGUGCGUAACGCGUGGGAACCUGCCUUUAGGUUCGGAAUAACUCAGAGAAAUUUGAGCUAAUACCGGAUGAUGUCUUCGGACCAAAGAUUUAUCGCCUUUAGAUGGGCCCGCGUUGGAUUAGCUAGUUGGUGGGGUAAAGGCCUACCAAGGCGACGAUCCAUAGCUGGUCUGAGAGGAUGAUCAGCCACACUGGGACUGAGACACGGCCCAGACUCCUACGGGAGGCAGCAGUGGGGAAUAUUGGACAAUGGGCGAAAGCCUGAUCCAGUAAUGCCGCGUGAGUGAUGAAGGCCUUAGGGUUGUAAAGCUCUUUUACCCGAGAUGAUAAUGACAGUAUCGGGAGAAUAAGCUCCGGCUAACUCCGUG
rnacentral:rRNA from 1 species